rnacentral:rRNA from 1 species
UACAGAGGGUGCAAGCGUUGUUCGGAAUUAUUGGGCGUAAAGGGCGCGUAGGCGGCAUUACAAGUCGGAUGUGAAAGCCCAUGGCUCAACCAUGGAAGUGCAUUCGAAACUGUAGAGCUAGAGUAUUGGAGAGGGUGGUGGAAUUCCCGGUGUAGAGGUGAAAUUCGUAGAUAUCGGGAGGAACAUCAGUGGCGAAGGCGACCACCUGGCUGAAUACUGAGCUGAGGCGCGAAAGCGUGGGGAGUCAAACAGG